UGGCGCCAGAGCCACAUUACAAAGCGCCUCUGAGGUCUCCUCCCAAGAACGGGGUGUGUUUGUCCUCUAGCACUAGGUGGGUUUGCUCCCUCCCUAGAUCUUCCAUCCAGGAUAGUCCUGGAAAUGAUCUUGAUGCUAUCUGUUCCUCGUUACAGCAGACCUGCUCAACUUCAGCAGCUAGAAGGAGGAUUGUCUUUCACCAGCUGCAGGAGCCUGUUCCCACUACAAGCCUGGUGGAGUCUUCGGAGCAGAUGUGACUGUCCUACUUGUAUAGAGAAGAGAAACUGAGGCUCAGAAGAGAUGCCUGGCUGAGUUUAAUAGGACUGCAACAACAAUUUUGCCUUUCUACUUUCUGGUACAGUGGUCUUUCCUUUGCCAUCAUGCCUCAGCAUAUCCAUGUUAGUAAAUUCUCCCAGUUGGGGAAAAGCUUGGCAGCAAUGAAAGUUAAUGUGAUGAAUCAUUUAGAUGGACAGAUUGGAAAAAUGUUGUUCCUUUUGCAUGUGAUGUUCUUGCCAGAAAUCAAGUAGGUGGAGUUUUUGAAGCGUGAUCAGUUAGAUAAGUAUGGUGGUUUUAAAUAAUCAAGCAUGGAGCCAUACCGGUUAUGUUUAAUUUAUAACAAAAUCAGACAAUUCAGGCAUGAUGUUGAACUCAUUGAGCUUGGCUCACUACUACAUUUCUCUCACCAAAAGCAAUGACUAUAAAGAGUUACAAAUACCAUGACCUUAUAUCAUAAAGCAUAAAUUAUUCCAGGAAGUUUUCCAUUUAAGUCAACUUCUCAAAAUCUUAGGAGAAAACUACCAAUAUUCAGUUCAAACCCCAGAGGCUUAAGGAAAAAUAUUAAUGUUGAAAUAGCAAGUAAGUGGUAGUAUCCUCGCUGUAUGCACAAUUGCAUCUGCUCGGGGGUUAGUCUUUCUUUAGCUCCUGUCUACAACUCACACCAGUCUCCAUAAAAGAAAUGAGGUCUCACUGAUACCAUCUAGCUUAAUGAGAUAAAAAUCCUGGUGAUCUCUGCAAGAAAAUAAAACUAAGAUAAACUAGUAUCUGCUACUGAUAAAUAUUUAACAGAUGUGGUCCAAAUCCCUCUGCCAGCUGGAGGAAGGAAAAAAGUUCUAUUUUACUGCUUGGAUAUAAUUAUUGGCCACAUUUCUCCAAGCAAAGACAGUGACAUUGGCUCACUCCCCAGGAGAACUUUCUUCUGAUCUUGGCACUAGGAUUUGCUUUUCUUUAACAGAUUGCAGCAAUAUACCCUUCAUUUGACCCAGUUUAUUCAUUCAAAAGAUACCUGGAGCCAAAACCAUGUAUGAGAAAUAGCAAAGGAAGAGGCAGGCACAAGCUGUGUUUAUAUACCCACCAAAGGACUACAGCAAAACACAUAUAUUCUAGUCAGCUCUGAGUGCACCUGUCUGUGUCAACAGUAGACCAGCGUGGUCUGGCAGAUGACCAUAUGACCCAGCUGAUUCACUCCGGAGUUAGAGGAACUUUUCCCAGACCCUGAAAGUCACCUUUUUAGACAACUUCGCAAACAGCCAUCCUUGUUCACGGUAUCAUGCCCCUUGUCACUGCUAAACAGACCGUUUGCAAAGAAAUUUCCUAAACAUCACCACUGAGGCUCCUUCCAGCAAUGACUCUGGUCCAUCAUUGGGAUUGCUGAGCAGCUGUUUCAUAACAUGAACAAGGAUGUUUUAACCAUGUUUCUUGACCUGGCCAUUUGGAUCCCAAGGAUGUUUUGGUCCAAGAAUAAAUUCCAGAGCUUAGGUAGGUUACAUACCACAACUAUAUUCAUUUCCUACUUCUAUUCUUUCUCUGUGCAAUCCUUUUCCUAGCACUGUAACUGAAAGUAUUUUUCUAAAACAUUAAUGUGAUCAUACUAUGUCUCUGCUGAAAAGCCAUCAAUCACUAUCUACCUAUUACUGACAAAAACAUGACAUUCUGAUCCCACCUGAUCUGCUCUUUCUCAUCAACAACUCUUCUCCUUAUGUAAUUUCUCACCUGGUGACCAACCACACCCUGCAUGUGCUAUACAUUCAUUUAUGCUUUUUCACCUGCUCAAGGCCCCCAGAAUUAUUUUCAAGUAUUAUUUUUCCCAACACAAAGCAUCAGUCGAUACCUGUAGUAAGUCUGAAGCAUCUCAGAAGCAUUUAUUGACAACCCAGUCUUCUACUCUCCUCUGCCUCCAAACACACAGCACAUACAUUUUGUCCCAAACAUUUGUAGGCCAUCAUUGUCUUUUGCCUGGCAUUUCUUUACUAAUUAAUAUAUAUUUUUAUUCAUGUGUGUAUAUUUAUCUCACCAAUAUUUGGGAGCAGAGCCUAUGUGUUAUUUUAGUUAUACAGGUUGUUGGGUGAUAUGGCUGUGAACCUGAUAUGCUAUAGAUUAUAAGGGGAGGUGGAACCUGUCACACUUCCUCUUCCUCCAUCACUGGUUGUCUGUCUCAAAGCUCACCGAAGAAGACAGGAAAACUUGUCAGAUGGGGAAGGAUGUGUCAAGAGCAUGCACACAGAUUUACUCUUCAGCUAGAAGCUCCAAUUCCUAGAUGAUCUGAAUCCAACUCAGAGUGCUUGCACCUGUUUCCUGCCACACAGCUAGAGCUGAAGUGCCUUUCAUGUCCCACCAUGAUUCUGAGGACCCCCCCAGCCAUAUGGAACUUGUCCCUCUAGGUUCUCUGAUUGGCUGAAGCUACUCUAAGCCAAGAGAUCAAAGAAGCUGAUAAUGUAGAAUGUAAGUUUGUCUCCUGGGCCACAAUGGAAAGCAGAGACUGUAGCUGGAGGAGUGAAUAGAGGAUAUGCAGCUCUGGUAAUUCUCAGUACAAUUCCCAGUGGUCCACUCUGCAGAAUGAACCAAGUUCCAUUUUGCCCAACUUCUGGCAGUCCACAUUUGGACUGUGAGCUCACCUACAGAUAAAUCGUACGUGGAUUGAUGCAGUAACUGGAUUUGUAGCUGCUAAAUCUUAUUUAAGUGAGGACCUGUCCAGUACAUGUGAAGACCACCCAUCCACUGAAAGUGAUAAGUGAAGCUGAAUCAAUACUAGACUGAAUCAAUACUGAGCUGAAUCAAUACUUUCCCAAUUUUGAGGAAAUCUUGGAAAAUCUCUGAGAAAUGUGGUAGUAAUUAUUUUGAAGAAUUGGAAAACUUUAUAGCUGAUUAUGCUAUGUGUGGAAGAUACAACAGGAUUAUAAGAGAGAGAAGACAAUAUCCUUGCUGUGUCCAGAAGGCUUUAGCCGGGGUGUCCUACUGAGAGAUGACAAACUUAAGGUUUUUCUCUUCCCAGACAUUACUGGACAACUAGCUAUGUAAUUAGGUCUUAUGCCGAAAAGACUGAAAGGAAAACAUCUCAGAUCUAGGAAUGUGAUCAAGAAAGAAGGCUGGUUAAAGAAUAACAUGGGGAAAAUGAAUGCAGUGAAAUGGUUCACGCACAAGUUCUAGGAAUUCAGAGUGCAACAGCAGAAAUGCGAUUUUUGUUAGAUAUUUCAGAAAGUGAUGUGAGUCCCUGAGGUCAUACUGCAGCGUUCAGGUUCUGUUUGGCCUCCUGCACGAAGCUUUCCUUGAUUGGAAAAGCUGCAUACUCUGAAGCACAUCGCAUGUGUCCUGUCUGUAGUUCAUUUCAUUUCCCCAGAUUUGUUAUCAUCCACCAUCACUCAUACAAGCCUACCUUCUUCAUGCCAACCUUUGUAAUCUUUCUACCUUGCUAACCUGGUCAUGUCAAGGACCAGCUAAUAAAUAGCAAAGUUGUACCUUGAGCCAAGGUAUCUUGACUCUUAGUCCAGUGCUCUUUAUAUACCUCUGAAGUCUUAUUUGAGCUUCAAAAUUAUGAGUCUGUGCUCUCAAGAUUUUUUUGAAAAUGUACUUAAUGUUGCCCCUAAGCUUUUAUGAGAAAUAAUAAAGUUCUUUCCAGAUUGAAUAUCUAAUAACUCCAUUUCAUUUUAUGCUUUCUCAUGUAUGGAUGUCUAUAACUGGAAUGCUAUUUGGGCUACUGAGAUAUUUUCUUAAUUCUCUGUUUUGUGUUAGUUCUUUUUGUUUGUUUAUUUGACAACCAUAUUUUUGCACCUGAGAUAAAUCUGGCAUUCUAUUCAACUUCAAUUUCAAAGAGAAUCUGAGAAUGUACUGGUAGAACGAUAUUUGAAUACUAAUAUCUUGGAAAUACAGAAAUAAGUAUCAUACAUUUUGUUACAUUCUGUUUGUGUACAAAUAAUAUAAAAAUCAAUGAAUGAGAAUUUCAUAUUUGAAUUGUAUAUGGAUUGAUGCAAUAACUUGAUUUAGACAAUACUUUUUAUGAAGAAAGGUAAAAACAAUAAAAAUAUAGAAUUGCUUAUAGUUUUGUAACAUAUAUGGUCUAGAUACUGUUUAUAUAACAACAAUCCCAAACUCUCCAUGCAAUUCAGGCA
rnacentral:lncRNA from 1 species